rnacentral:lncRNA from 1 species
ACAAGGCCAGACCAGACUUUAAAAAAGCUCAAGUCAGGCCAAAAUAAAUAACAUUUGAUAGGCUGUAAGUCAGGCUCAAGCCUGAAGAAAAAUCAUAGGUCAAGCUCAGGCCUAUCAAGGCCGGCCUAUUCCCAACCCUAAUGUCUAUAAUAUAUAUUUUCUUAAAAAAAAAAAAACGUUAACUCUUUUACCACAGACAGUCAUCAAACUAACGAUAUAACUCCGGAAUGAUAUGAUAAAUUUAUACAUACAUGUGAUACCGGAAGUUGAUACACAAGGAAGAAAAAACAAGAAUAGACUCUAUUCAAUAGAGGCUAUUGAACCAUUAAAUGGCCUAGUGUUCCAAA